AUGGUGCUUAUACUACCAGAUAUCCGUUACCACCUUCUAGCCCGCCAGCAAAAGAAAAAAGUGGAAAUACAUGGAGAAGUGUUGGAGGACAUUGCGAUCUUCCUCAUGGAUCUCUAUGAGAAUCCGUCGCCGGAGGCAAAUGAUCUAGGCUCCUUGUACUUUCACACACUCUUCGUAUUGUUUGGAGAAUGCCCGCGUUUCGCCCCCUUGGAUGAUAGCUCUGCUGGCAGCAUCGCAAAACACCAAAAAUAUGUUCAUCCUCUAGGCACAGGCUGUCUCUAUGAUCUUAUCAAAAGCUGGAAGAAGGUUUCGUUUACCAUCUUCUUGCUAAAGCUGCUGCUUGUGGAGGAAUCAAUGAUUGCUGUUAUCAAGCAAACAAGGCCCCAUUUCAGUGAUGUUUCGAAGGUCAGUCCUCAGUUUCGGGCUCUUUUUGAUGAGGCAGAGGCGCACAGAGAGAUGAUUCUGGAAAGGCUGGCUUCUUUGUAUGAGGAUACAAAGGAGCUUGACGAGUUUGCUGCUUUGAACAAGCAAGUCAUUGAGGCUGACGGUGUUGUGGGCGACGCAACCUUGCAGCGAAUGGUCACUGGCUUCCUUCACCUCGUCAAGUUCGAUAAAGACCUUGUGCCAGCUAUACUGGUGAGGCAGCAUAACUUUCAGGGUAAGCUCGGUUUGAAUCUUCAGGUGCCCGUAGCAAACCUUGUGACCAGAAGGUAG
rnacentral:rRNA from 1 species